rnacentral:rRNA from 1 species
UACGGAGGGGGGCUAGCGUUGUUCGGAAUUACUGGGCGUAAAGCGCACGUAGGCGGCUUUGUAAGUAAGAGGUGAAAGCCUGGUGCUCAACACCAGAACUGCCUUUUAGACUGCAUCGCUUGAAUCCAGGAGAGGUGAGUGGAAUUCCGAGUGUAGAGGUGAAAUUCGUAGAUAUUCGGAAGAACACCGGUGGCGAAGGCGGUGAGCUGGGCAGUUGCUGACACUGAGGCGCGACAGCGUGGGGAGCAAACAGG